rnacentral:rRNA from 1 species
CUUUUACAAGGUUUGGCC